rnacentral:rRNA from 1 species
AUUGAACGCUGGCGGCAGGCCUAACACAUGCAAGUCGAGCGGUAACAGGAAACAGCUUGCUGUUUCGCUGACGAGUGGCGGACGGGUGAGUAAUGUCUGGGAAACUGCCUGAUGGAGGGGGAUAACUACUGGAAACGGUAGCUAAUACCGCAUAACGUCGCAAGACCAAAGAGGGGGACCUUCGGGCCUCUUGCCAUCGGAUGUGCCCAGAUGGGAUUAGCUAGUAGGUGGGGUAACGGCUCACCUAGGCGACGAUCCCUAGCUGGUCUGAGAGGAUGACCAGCCACACUGGAACUGAGACACGGUCCAGACUCCUACGGGAGGCAGCAGUGGGGAAUAUUGCACAAUGGGCGCAAGCCUGAUGCAGCCAUGCCGCGUGUAUGAAGAAGGCCUUCGGGUUGUAAAGUACUUUCAGCGGGGAUGAAGGGAGUAAAGUUAAUACCUUUGCUCAUUGACGUUACCCGCAGAAGAAGCACCGGCUAACUCCGUG